rnacentral:rRNA from 1 species
UUGACGGGGCCCGCACAAGCGGUGGAGCAUGUGGUUUAAUUCGACGCAACGCGAAGAACCUUACCAGGGCUUGACAUCCCCUGACCGCGUAUGAAAGUACGUUUUCACCCUCGGGUGACAGGGAGACAGGUGGUGCAUGGUUGUCGUCAGCUCGUGUCGUGAGAUGUUGGGUUAAGUCCCGCAACGAGCGCAACCCCUACGUUUAGUUGCUAACGCGUGAAGGCGAGCACUCUAGACGAACUGCCGUUGACAAAACGGAGGAAGGUGGGGAUGACGUCAAAUCAUCAUGCCCCUUAUGUUCUGGGCUACACACGUGCUACAAUGGCCGGUACAGACGGACGCAAAGCCGCGAGGUGGAGCAAAUCCUAAAAAGCCGGUCUCAGUUCGGAUUGCAGGCUGCAAUUCGCCUGCAUGAAGUCGGAAUCGCUAGUAAUCGCAGGUCAGCUAUACUGCGGUGAAUACGUUCCCGGGGCUU